rnacentral:lncRNA from 1 species
AUGAUCGUGCCUUCUAACCCUUCGUCUAAGUCGUUAAUAAAGAUGUUGAACAGAACCGGGCCCAGGACGGAGCCCUGCGGCACUCCACUUGUCACUUCUUUCUAUGAUGAAGACGACGCAUUGGUGAGCACCCUUUGGGUUCGUUCGCUUAGCCAAUUACAGAUCCACCUAACCGUAGUUUUGUCUAGCCCACAUUUUACUAGUUUGUUUGCCAGAAGGUCGUGGGGGACUUUGUCGAAGGCCUUACUGAAAUCCAGGUACGCUACAUCCACAGCAUUCCCUGUAUCGACCCAACUCGUAACUCUAUCGAAAAAAGAGAUCAGAUUAGUCUGGCAUGACUUGUUUUUGAGGAGGGCGAAUGUGGUCCCUAUCUUCAAGAAGGGAAAAAAGAACGACCCAAACAAUUACCGUCCGGUCAGCCUCACAUUGAUACCAGGCAAGAUUCUGGAAAAGAUCAUCAAGGAAGUGCUCUGCGAACACUUAGAAACAAAUGCGGUCAUUGCUAAUAGUCAACAUGGAUUUACCAAAAACAAGUCAUGCCAGACUAAUCUGAUCUCUUUUUUCGAUAGAGCUACAUCCAUGGUAUUCCCGACAUCUACCCAGCUUGUAGCUCUAUUGAAAAAAGAGAUCAGAUUAGAAUGGCAUGAUUUGUUUUUUGUAAAUCUGUGUUGACUAUUAGCAAUUACCGCAUUUGUUUCUAAGUGUUUGAAGAGCACUUCCUUAAUUAUCUUUUCCAGAAUCUUGCUUGGUAUCGAAGUGAGGCUAACUGGAUGGUAAUUGUUUGGGUCGUCCUUUUUUCCCUUCUUGAAGAUAGGGACCACAUUUGCCCUCCUCCAAUCUGCUGCGACUCUCAAAAAUGAUUUCCAUUGGUUCCAAAAUAACUUCCGAUAAUUCCUUCAAUAUUCUUGGGUGUAGUUGAUCUGGUCCUGGAGACUUAAAUUCAUUUAGAGCAGCCAGGUAUUCCUGAAUGACUUCUUUCCCUAUUUGGGGUUGGAUUUCCCAUAAUCCUUCAUCCAUUGCAUGUUGCUGAGGUUGAGGCUGGCUUUCUUUUUGUGAGAAGACUGAGACCCUCAAUCACUUUCCAAAACCCAACAAAACCAUACACAUUAAUUCAAAGGAAGUCUCAUAUACUAUCUCAUUUCCCACCCCAAAGCCCACGUCGCUUCUAUCUAACCUUCCUCACUACACUAAACAAAACUAAAAAACAAUAAAAGCCCAGUCGUGGUACACAAUAAUAUUAAAAUAAAUUAGACAAAAAAAUAGAAAAACAGAUACGAAAAGACAAACAAGAUGGUGAGCCUGUGAUAUAUUGCCCCUAAGUCAGCACGGUUGCAUAGGGUUUAAUCACUUCCUUUUCCAACAACUUCCAGCCUUACAAACUCUCUCCAGCAAAUCUCUCCAAAUGGCCUCCACCGAUUUGCGGAGCGAGGGGCCCAAGCUAUUGCAGUUGAAGGCUGCCCCCCGGUUCAGCGGGGCAACAAUAGUAAAGUGGCCAACACACUCGAUUCGGCAGAUAGGACAAUAGGGCA